CUUGUGAUAAAUUUUAUUCGCCGCAAACAAUCCUAAAAGUGCAUUACGAAUACGACUUUUCAUCAGGAGUAUCUAGUAAAAAAGCAGUAUUCAUAUAUUUUUUGAUGCAGUUGAUGCGGAGGAAAAUCUAUGGUGGAAUCUGCAGCAGGCACAUCUAAUGGCAUAGCUAAGAUACAACGGCUGAUAAGCUUUUGUGCUACGUGUCCAAAAAAGCGUUCGUCAUAUCGUUAGAUUUGUUCGGAAGUAUUAAUGUCGGGAGUGUCGUG